GAAGUCAUCAAUACAAGGUGGAGUCAGAAUCUUCUGUUGUGUCUACAUACCUCAUCUUAUUUCAGUGUCCUCUACUCCUCUGUGAGUCAGGACUUGUCCAAUUGGGAUUAUAUUGAGCAGUGUGUGUUAGGAAGCAGAGUGAUGCACAGCAGGGACUCACAAAUAGGCAUUUUUCUGUAUAAAUGGAUGGAUGUGGAAAAGAUAUUGAGUGAGAGAACCCAGAUCCAGAAAGACCAAUGCCAGAGGUCAUCUCCAUCAGCUGUUUCUGGCUCUCAAACUUCUGAAGACAGAGACCCUUCAUGCUGGGGAAGUGGGCACACUGCCAUCUGGACUUCCUGCAGAGCUCCGACUUCUGCUGUCUCAGGCCACACCUAAUUCAACAGACUCCUCAACCACUUCUCAGCCCUGCCUUCACUGAUAUGCAGCAGAAACACAGUCUGACACCAGGUGAUACCCACAAACUGAAAAUUUCUCUCUCUUCCUAAACAAACUGACUGAUCUUGUUCUCUGCACUUGGGACUCACCAGAUGGUCAGGGUUCUAGAAGUCAGUGACAGCACAAGCUGGCUAUCAUCCACUGGGAAGAUCUGGCCAAAGACUUUCAUACCCAUCAGUGUUUGCUAACAGGACAGAAUCAGAUGGUCAGAAUGGAGCUGGAGGCCAACUGUAACAGAGAAGAUGGUUCCUCCCUUGUCACACCUCUGCAGUCUCUCAGUCUCCCAUUGCUCUUCAGUUGAGCAAGUCAAUGAUAACUUUACCUCUGUGUCAGGGAUGCUGGCACAUGCCACCUCAUGGGAUCCUUUUCAGCACAUCAAGACCAGGCUUCAGAGACUUGUCUUCUACCACACACAGAUACUUACUGUACUCAAACUUACCUGCAGGCCCAUGAUUCACACAGAUUAGUACCCUGGAUUCCCUGUUGAGUUCAUUUUCCCUUGUAAAUCAGUGAGAUGCUCCCUACCUGGAAGGUGUCCUGGAAAACAAGUGAGACAUUACAACUCAACCAGUGCUUCACACUGCACCAGGGGCUGUCAUCAAGACAUCCAUGAUGAUCAAGGUUUCCUUGUAAGUCUGACCCCAAUGGUGGGCACUGGUCAUAGAGAAGUCCAGUGUUCUGGCCUUGUAAAGACAAUACCCAGGAUCAGGCCUGGCAAGGCCUACUUACCUUCCCACAUUGGAGCAGAACAAUGUUAAUGUAAGGUCAAAUGUCAGUUAUAAAUCCCUCCAUGAGAUGGAAAAAAUGAUGUAAGAUUCUUGG